GGCGGAUUACCGAUGGAAAUAGACCUGGAAUACUUCCUUUUUCUAGUGGCUAAUCGUCUUAACUCACAUAUGCUUCUCAUGCUUGAUAUAAAUAGAUAGCAUUUCUCUUAUAAUGUAAACAAUACGAAUAAUCGAAAUCCAGUUGCUCUCUAAAUACAUUGGCUUUUAGUUUCUCAUUUUCCAAUUCAUUUACGGGUUUCAUUUAUACAAAAACUUUCUUGAACAUGAAAUAGGACCUGGUGUAAAGAAGUACACCUACUUUCUAUGUGCACUACACUUCUUACGCUUAUCCAGCCAUUGCACAGUGUAAUUAAGUAACAAUUACACACUUGAUUCUUUUCUAAUUUUUCACGAUGUCUUUAUAGAACAAGUGCGUAAAUAUAAAAUCAUAAAACUGCCGAGGAAAAUUAAUUAACCAUCCAUGUAAAACAUUAAAUGUUACUUGUUUGUAUUCCCAACUAGAUAUGCUUAAAAGUCUCAAUGACAGAUGAGUAUGUGCCGACAACUCCUAGUAGAAUAGCCAAUACUACUAAUCCCAUAAUAACAAAAAAAUCGAAACCAAAACUUCUGUACACUUGAAAGAUCUUCAGGUAACAAGCACAAGGGAGCAAGAAAGAAACAGAAACCACAAGGGCUGCUCCACUAAGAGAUGCUACAGACUCGAAUGAUGGUAAGUAGUUCUCGAUAGCAGAAGCAAUUGGCAUUAUCGUUAUAGCAUAUUUCGCAACCGGACCUGCCAAAAUUGUGUAUAUUGCUACCUUUGCACUAGCUUUCUCGGUUGGUAGGUUUAGCGUUACUUGUGAUUGUACAUCGUCGCCAUAAAUAAGGUAAAUGGCAGGGAACAUAGCAUGAGCUCCAUAGCAGAAAGUGUAUAGACUAACUGCUGUUGGUAGUCCUUCGAAAUUCACAAGGCUCCCCUUCCUAUGAAAUCCAACCCCAGAUGCACCAACACAAAAUACACAGAUGAGCACUAUAAGUGAGGAGAGCACCCCACCUAACGAAAGAUAUGAGAGAACACUCAGAUCACUUAGCCACAUAGAAGGCAAGAUGAUAAGCCCAGCUACAAUCACAAACGAGUGCCUUCCAUCCAUUUUCAAGCUUCCAAACUUGAAACCAAAAUGGGGAGAAAGUUUAUGUAAAUUGUCACCUUCUAGAAUCAGUAGACCAGUGGCAACAAGGUAGAGUUCUAAACAGGUGAAAACCAAGGCUAUAAUUCUUCCCUUUCGACCAAAAGCAAUCCCAGCUAUAUCAGGAUAGCUAGUGGCUAAAGGGUUUGAUUCCAUACAACGGCGGAUUAAAAGCCCUGUAAAGAAGGCAGCGAGAGAAAUCAAGAUCAGGACAACCAAGCUUAGCCAGCCACCUGAAGAGAGUGCAUAUGGGAUUGAGAGAAUGCCAAUACCUGAUGAUAAAAUAGUUAGUAUAUUAUGAUUGGUGUAUGCUAUUUCAUUUUAGCUUGAUUGCUAGGCAUUAUCAUUUUCAUUAAUCACAGGUUUUGAUUCUUCAUAUAACAUUUGCAUGUGUAUAUUUGGAACGUAGAAAAUCACUGUAUCAAAAAAAGUAUUCCACAUGAGGAACACGAAGGUCAGCAAUUAAAUGAUUCUUGUGACUUGU